AUGUCGGUGACGGAGGCUGGGUUGGUGGAUCAGUGGAUGGAGCUCAACAUACCGAACUCUACAUCUUGUGUUACUUCUCCCACCAAGAUCACCGUCAGCACUUCUCUUUCUCUUGAUAACAUCUGGGGAAUGUUAGUGGUGGCGGUGUUUGGUCACGUCCUCGGAGCUGUGGUGCUGUGUGGCGAGGUCAUCUGUAACAGGCUCUUCAACUUGUGAAGGUCGCCCUCAUCUCUACUGUGUCAAAGUUGUUAACCUGAAAUAUACAAAAAAGGUUUCAUCUCUGUUCUGACAUAUCUGUAAUGUUCCUUGUGAGUGCUAUCAAUAUUUUACCAAGGCUGUAAAGACAGCAAAAAUACAACAUGUUUAUCCUGCUUUAAGAAAGAUACAAACUUCACAAACACAGGGAUAUUUAGCUUUACAUACAGCUAUAAUGAAACUUAUCAUACACAUACCUUCCUCGCCUAUCAGUUUUGGAAGCACUGACACGCAAAAUAAACUUAGCAGAAACGA